GGUCAACAUAGAACAAGGCGGCAAGAUCCACAAAGAAAUAUAAAACGAGUAUACCAUUUGACUUUGCGAGAGUAUAAAAUGUUCGGUUUCAUCCGAACUUAGCGCUUCCUUACUUGUUGCUAGUUGGCUUCGUGCAUGUUGUACUCAGUGAUUGAGUGUGGUGGUGUUAUCAUGUGUAGCGUUCUUGAUGUUGAGUGCAGUGUGGUGUGUUUCAUUAGGGUGUGCUAGUUUUACCCGAGUAGAGUGGUGUGUAUAUGUAGGGGUUGCUUAUCUCAUUUAAACACUUCUCUUGGCCCCCAUAUACCUGAUAUAAAGAUUUUCGAACUUCCGGUUGACUUUAUACCACAUGUAUCGGCCAAUGUGCGAGUAAUUUUAAUGAAAUUGAGAAAGCGUGUUUUUCUAAUAACAGUGUAUCUUUGUGCCUAAAUUGAAAAAAAUCGGUUGAUAUUCACGAUUUUGAAACGUCCGGCUGAUUUUACUCCAUAUAUAUCCAUACAAGCCAUAGGUAACCAAUUCACUACAACACUUGUAAAAUUUAACCUCUUACACCACUACAUAUUCAACACUAACUCUUUGUUUUUAAGUCGAAAAUUAUGUUGCAAGAGUAGCAACAUUCAUCAUACAUAUUUAUUUUUUUAUAUGCCUAAGAAAGAGAUGCACAUAAUUGUAAGGAAAACACUUCCACUUGUUGCUACAGAGUAUAAUAGUUUUGUUCACCUAACGGUUGUUUGUAUCACCUAAAACUAAUCGAGUUAGGGGAUAGGGUUAUGUAUAUAUAAAUGAUCAGGAUGAAGAGACGAGUUGAAAUCCGGGUGACUGUAGGGAUGGUAAGAUGCUUAAGUGUCGUUUCGGAGAUUUUUAAUAUGUUACGAUCAGUAAUUUUUUUUUAUUCGCGCAAGAACAACGUUUACAAAUUAUUUAAUUUUAUUAUCAAAAUAAUCACAAAUUAUUUAUUAACAACUAUUACAUAUACCUAAAUUGUUGCUCCGUUACUGUCAAUGGAGAGCAGUAUAGAUUGACGAUAAAUAACUUUUUAUGGCCGCAAUUGGAGGAAAUUGAUCUUGACAACAUCUGGUUCCAACAAGCGGGCGCUAUGGUUGCGCAGAGGUUGGCUGAACCAGCUACACAGGGCACUCAACACUUUCCAACACUGGUGUGAGAGAAGGCUAGGAAUAUGCUGUGUCGUUUGGAUCUCCAUGCCUUGCGGAAGGGAACGGCCAACACUGCUAUUUGUACGCAGAGGACUGUCAUCUCGGAGGAUAAAGAAUUCGUAAAUGUCUACUAUGAGAUGCCCGAUUUCAAUCCAACAGACAUUUCGCCGUGGUUGCUGCGUUUUGAAUUGAAAAACAUCCAAGUGUUGGGAGCAGAGGUUAAGCGUUAAUCGAUUGAGAAGGAAAUUAAUGCUGUGCUGCAGUUUUACGGCUUGUAUUUGAAACUAUCGUCAUUUGGCUUUGUUAUGUGAGGUUGACAGCUUAAUAAAUACAAAAAAACGUGAUACACAUAUGUAACAGGCGUUUAAAUCACAUUUAGUCGAAAUUUUGGCAAAAAACCCGCGUAAAACUAACGGAGUAGUACAAGUAUCACAUGGGGCAUUAUCGUGAUAAAGGGACCAAACCAUAUUUUUUAAGCAUAUAGAUUUAUAAUUGUAGUAUAAGUAAUUGUUUAUAAGAUUAUAUUGUUAGAUGUACUUUACUUGUUUACGUAUAAAUUUUAAGUGUUAAUAUCUAUAUUAAAACUUUUUGCAGUGUUAAUAUUUAGUUUGGGUAAAUACGUUCCUAUUAUUAAAUAUAUCGAAAUAAUGGAAA